ACGACCUUACUUGAACAGGAUCUGUUCUAUAGGCUCGUACCUCUGUUUCCUUGAUUUCUAAGGAGACAGGCCCUUAAACCUGGUUGAUGAAUCAAAGCCGUGUAACCUGAGUGUGAUUGACGGCGGUUCGUCUCUUCGGAGACCCUCUGCUGUAGAGGAUCGCUACCUGGUUAGGUCUUCCUAUCUGGGGUGGUCGCACGGUUGUCUGACAGGCU
rnacentral:snoRNA from 1 species